UGAGUACGAGAUGCUACGGCAUUGAAGCAGUCUAUGUCAUACUUCCAAGAAAAGCUUGCACUGUCAUAAACAAAGAAUGCCUGUACCAUAACCGACACAGGUGGGUAGGUAGAGUAUACUAAGGGGCGCGAGAUAACUCUCUCUAAGGAACUCGGCAAAAUGACUCCGUAACUUCGGGAGAAGGAGUGCCUUAUUUUUAAGGUUGCAAUAACAAGAUCCAAGCAACUGUUUAUCAAAAACACAGGUCUCCGCUAAGUCGUAAGACGAUGUAUGGGGGCUGACGCCUGCCCAGUGCCAGAAGGUUAAAGAAGUUGGUUAGCAUUCGCGAAGCUGAUAACUGAAGCCCUGGUGAACGGCGGCCGUAACAAUAACGGUCCUAAGGUAGCGAAAUUCCUUGUCGGGUAAGUUCCGACCCGCACGAAAGGCGUAAUGAUUUGGAUACUGUCUCGGAGAGGGACUCGGUGAAAUAGACUUGUCUGUGAAGAUGCGGACUACCUGCACCUGGACAGAAAGACCCUAUGAAGCUUUACUGUAACUUGAAAUUGAAAUUGGACUUUAGUUGCGCAGGGUAGGUGGGAGGCGUUGAGAAUAUUCUUGCGGGAGUAUUGGAGCCAUCAGUGAGAUACCACUCUUCUAAUGUUAGAUUUCUAACUUUGUAUCAUUAUCUGGUCAAAGAACAGUUUCAGGCGGGCAGUUUGACUGGGGCGGUCGCCUCCUAAAGGGUAACGGAGGCGCACAAAGGUUUCCUCUGAACGAGUAGAAAUCGUAUCUAGAGUGUAAAGGCAUAAGGAAGCUUGACUGUGAGACCUACAAGUCGAGCAGGGACGAAAGUCGGUCUUAGUGAUCUGACGGUGCUGAGUGGAAAGGCCGUCACUCAACGGAUAAAAGUUACUCUAGGAUAACAGGCUGAUCUCCCCCAAGAGUUCACAUCGACGGGGAGGUUUGGCACCUCGAUGUCGGCUCAUCGCAUCCUGGGGCGGUAGUACGUCCCAAGGGUUGGGCUGUUCGCCCAUGAAAGCGGUACGCGAGCUGGGUUCAGAACGUCGUGAGACAGUUCGGUCCAUAUCCGGUGUAGGCGUUAGAAUAUUGAGAGGAGCCUUCUCUAGUACGAGAGGACCGAGAAGGACAUACCUCUAGUGUACCAGUUAUCGUGCCAACGGUAAACGCUGGGUAGCUAUGUAUGGAGUGGAUAACCGCUGAAAGCAUCUAAGUGGGAAGCCCACCUCAAGAUAAG
rnacentral:rRNA from 1 species